rnacentral:lncRNA from 1 species
CAUGAUUGGAUGCAUUUUGCAGCUGUUUUGUGUAUUCAUUUCCUUUGCUUUCUGAGUAUAUUUACUAUUUUAACAGCACCACAUUUCUCUUGGUGGCAAAUUUUGAAACUAUUUUUUCAUAGUCCUUUUCUCCAUUCCUUGAAUAAUCUAAAUCUGAAUUUUGGUGGCAUUCUGAUAAUUAGAUUGGGUUACAAGGUACUCUGCACAGGAUAACUUUAAUUAGGAUCAUCCAGUACAUACAUACAGGUACAUACACACAUGCGUGUGUGCAUAUACAUAUACUGUAUUUAUUCGCUGCCUAGCAGCAAUUAUUCAUCCUAGAACAAUGCAAUAUUCAAGUAAACUAAUAAAAAUGAAAAUAGAAACACAUCACAGCAUGCCUGGACAAUCAUGCAUUGAUUUCUGCACUUGCAUAUUGUAUUAAUCACAUGCUUAUUGAUCUUGUCAUAAUUGUGAAUCAAGACAAUUUAUAUAUACAUCUAACCCUUAAUUUACAUUGUGCUUGAAUUGCAUAAUUUUGAUUUAACAUGGUUUAAAUCCAACACUAACAACAAAGAUGAUCACAGCAAUAUUCUAUACUAUGGACA